CGGGACGGGUGAGUAAUGUCUGGGAAACGUGCCUGAUGAGGGGGAGUAACUACUGGAAACGGUAGCUAAUACCGCAUAACGUCGCAAGACCAAAGAGGGGGACCUUCGGGCCUCUUGCCAUCGGAUGUGCCCAGAUGGGAUUAGCUAGUAGGUGGGGUAACGGCUCACCUAGGCGACGAUCCCUAGCUGGUCUGAGAGGAUGACCAGCCACACUGGAACUGAGACACGGUCCAG
rnacentral:rRNA from 1 species